rnacentral:rRNA from 1 species
UACGGAGGGUGCGAGCGUUGUCCGGAAUCAUUGGGCGUAAAGGGCGCGUAGGUGGCCCCUCAAGCGUGCGGUGAAAGUCAGGGGCUCAACCCCUGAUCGGCCGUGCGAACUGGGGAGCUUGAGCACUGUAGAGGCAGGCGGAAUUCCGGGUGUAGCGGUGGAAUGCGUAGAGAUCCGGAAGAACACCGGUGGCGAAGGCGGUGAGCUGGGCAGUUGCUGACACUGAGGCGCGACAGCGUGGGGAGCAAACAGG